AAGAGAGUUGCAUUUACUAACCUUAGAUAGCGCUUGUUAUACAAUCUUGUAUGAUGCAAGGCAUUCAAUGUAUUUCAUAAAUUCUUGUUAUGAAUAAUCAAGAUAAAAGAGUGGUAGCAUGUGUGUGUAUAUAUAUAUAUGUAAAUAUGUGUGUGUGUGUGUGUGCAAGUGCUAGUAGUAUAUAUCUUAGGAGUAAUUAACAAGUGUAAAGAAAAAAAGAAGCAAAGUGCUUUAAAUGCUGGUAUAUUAAUUAACAAGUGUAAAGGGGAAAAAGAAACGUGCUUUAAAUGAAAUAGCUCAAGAAGAAGAUGUGAAACGUGAGUCAAUGUUGUUAUGAUUUAGUAUUAGUAUUAAUA
rnacentral:lncRNA from 1 species